AAGUAAGAAGCGAAAUCGCAGCCAGUUUCGACCUGGUCUAUAGGUAAUAAAUUUACCCAUACUUU
rnacentral:tRNA from 1 species